rnacentral:rRNA from 1 species
CCUACGGGAGGCAGCAGUGGGGGAUAUUGCACAAUGGGGGGAACCCUGAUGCAGCGACGCCGCGUGGGUGAAGAAGCGCCUCGGCGCGUAAAGCCCUGUCAGCAGGGAAGAAAAUGACGGUACCUGAAGAAGAAGCCCCGGCUAACUACGUGCCAGCAGCCGCGGUAAUACGUAGGGGGCAAGCGUGAUCCGGAUUUACUGGGUGUAAAGGGGGCGCAGACGGCGAUGCAAGCCAGGAGUGAAAGCCCGGGGGCCAACCCCGGGACAGCUCUUGGAACUGCGUGGCUGGAGUGCAGGAGGGGCAGGCGGAAUGCCUGGUGUAGCGGUGAAAUGCGUAGAUAUCAGGAGGAACACCGGUGGCGAAGGCGGCCUGCUGGACUGCAACUGACGUUGAGGCCCGAAAGCGUGGGGAGCAAACAGGAUUAGAUACCCUAGUAGUC